rnacentral:lncRNA from 1 species
CUCAUGAUAGUGGCCACCCAUUCCUCUGAGCAUCGUGGAAUGCUCAGGUCCAAGACCAGAGUGACAAGAUGGUGCUGACCCAGUGUUGGAACUAGGCUGAGGCCUAUGGCAGCUGGGUCCUCCAGGUAGAGGAUGACCUCAGGAGGAGGUGGAGAGGUCAGACUGUUAGGUUUGGACCAUGACAGGUCCCCCAAGCCGUUCCAGUUGUCUACUUUGCACCCUCUAGGCAACCUGCUGUUCUCUCCUGCUCGCUUAUCCUGUGCUCCCCACCCCUAUCUCAGCAUGUUGGGAGGCAGGGUUUCUCUGUGUAGCCCUGUGUAUCCUGGAACUCACUCUGUAGACCAGGCUGGCUUUGAACUCACAGAGAUCCACCUACUUCUGCCUCCCAAGUGCUGGGAUUAAAGGCCAUGCGCCACCACUGUGUACCCAGCUUGGGAGCUUCUCUUUGGACUGUGAAGUAUUAAGGGAGAACGGGCCCAUGUCCACCCCUAUCCCCGCCCUACCCCCCCUCUGUAUAUGCCUGCCCCCACAGGCAGCUUCUUUUCUGAUGGCCUGGGAGUUAACUAGAUGUCUGGGUAGACUUUGAUUUGCUCCCUCCUUCAGGAUUUCCUUUCUCCUCUUAGGCAGAGAAGGGGCCCGAGGGUGGGCAAGGUAGGAUAUGUAUUGACUUCCAGUGCUCUGCCCACCCUCUGUGCCCACCAGCUAGAACAAGAGAUUCCAUUUCUUUCUCCUAUCGUGGGUCUCUGCACAUGCCCUGGCCUUCCUCUCCACUCUUCUCCUCUUCCCUGCCUCCUCCCUCCCCCACCUCUGACUCAAAGAAGCUCCCUCAGUUGUCACCAUGGAAACCAAGAUAGUGAACUUUGGAUGGGUCCCUCCAUCUCAGGAGGCUGCUUGCUGCAGGCAUUGUCGAGGGUCUGGGGCCUCUGUAUAUGAAGGCCCAUCACUCCUCAGGGGAGGGCCUGCCCCAGCCCAGACUGGAAGAGGAGAUCGAUUCUCUGGCCCGGGAGCUGGCACUGAAGGAGAAGGAGGCUGGGCACCCAAGGCUCACAGCACAGCCCUUGCCUGAGGCUUCCCAGAAGCUCCUGGAACCUGCAGCUACCCUGGGAUUCUCACAGUGGGGUCAACAACUGGAGCCUGGCCUCCCCUCUACUCACGGAACCUCUUCGCCCACACCCCACACCUCCUUGAGCGCCCGGGCAUCCUCUGGGCCUGUGCAGAUGUCCCCGCUGGAGCCUCAAGGC